CCUACGGGUGACAGCAGUGAGGAAUAUUGGUCAAUGGGCGCGAGCCUGAACCAGCCAAGUCGCGUGAGGGAAGACGGUCCUAUGGAUUGUAAACCUCUUUUGUCGGGGAGCAAAAGACGCCACGCGUGGCGUUCCGAGAGUACCCGAAGAAAAAGCAUCGGCUAACUCCGUGCCAGCAGCCGCGGUAAUACGGGGGAUGCGAGCGUUCUCCGGAUUUAGUGGGGUAAACGGGUGCGCAGGCGGAAGAUCAAGUCAGCGGUAAAAUUGAGGGGCUCAACCUCUUCGAGCCGUUGCAUCUGGUUUGCUUGAGUGAGCGAGAAGUAUGCGGAAUGCGUGGGGUAGCGGGGAAAGGCAUAGAUAUCACGCAGAACUCCGAUUGCGAAGGCAGCAUACCGGCGCUCAACUGACGCUCAUGCACGAAAGUGUGGGUAUCGAACAGGAUUAGAUACCCCUGUAGUC
rnacentral:rRNA from 1 species